AGUGAACGCUGGCGGUAGGCCUAACACAUGCAAGUCGAACGGCAGCACAGUAAGAGCUUGCUCUUACGGGUGGCGAGUGGCGGACGGGUGAGGAAUACAUCGGAAUCUACUUUUUCGUGGGGGAUAACGUAGGGAAACUUACGCUAAUACCGCAUACGACCUACGGGUGAAAGCAGGGGAUCUUCGGACCUUGCGCGAUUGAAUGAGCCGAUGUCGGAUUAGCUAGUUGGCGGGGUAAAGGCCCACCAAGGCGACGAUCCGUAGCUGGUCUGAGAGGAUGGACGGGAACAGUGAAAAUGAGACACGGGCCGGAGUCCAACGGGAGGCGGCAGAGGGGAUUCUUGCGCAAUGGCCGAAAGCCUGACGGAGCAGCGCCGCAUGAGUGAUGAAGGUUUUCGGAUCGUAAAACUCUGUUGUUAGGGAAGAACAAAUGUACACGUAACUCUGCCGGGAAUGACGGUACCUAAUGAGAAAGACGCUGCUAACUACGAG
rnacentral:rRNA from 1 species